GAUGAAGAACGUAGCGAAAUGCGAUAAGUAAUGUGAAUUGCAGAAUUCAGUGAAUCAUCGAAUCUUUGAACGCACAUUGCGCCCCUUGGUAUUCCGAGGGGCAUGCCUGUUCGAGCGUCAUUAUAACCCCUCAAGCUCAGCUUGGUGUUGGGGCCUGCUGCACUGGCAGCCCUUAAAAUCAGUGGCGGCGCCAUCUGGCUCUAAGCGUAGUAAUUCUUCUCGCUAUGGAGUCCUGGUGGAUGCUUGCCAUCAACCCCCAAUUUUUCUAUGGUUGACCUCGGAUCAGGUAGGGAUACCCGCUGAACUUAAGCAUAUCAAUAAGCGGAAGGA
rnacentral:misc_RNA from 1 species